GACGAGUCCAAAAUAGGACGAAAUGCGCAUCCUGGAU
rnacentral:hammerhead_ribozyme from 1 species